ACAAUAAAAAAUAGUAAAUUUCAUGCAUAACUUUAACUAUGAUUUAUUCAAUAUUUUUGGUGAAACAUUAUUAGAUUGUAUUAUUUGAGUAAAUGUAGGCAAAAAAAUUAUUAAAUCAGAUGUAAAUUUAAAAAUCACAAAGCCAACGGUUUUUUAAUCAGCAGCAGAAGAAACAGCGCCUCUUGCAGGAAGACAAACAACAUCAAAACUCCUCAAAAAUCCUGGGUGUGGCACACCGGUGGAGAUGCGCUGGGUCUCGUGUAGGAGAACUCACAGUUUCUGACACCGCACCGGACGUUCGCAUUAAAUAGCGCGAGGUACAAGUGCUGGUGGUCCAACUGUCUGGGUUCAAGAAGUGAUUCUGCAUGCUGUGAAUUUGAGAGACCUCUCAGAGUUUAUUCAGCUGAUUGUUUUUGUAACAUGUACAAUGUUUGCCAUUUUCAAUAAAAUAAUGUAUACAAA